rnacentral:rRNA from 1 species
AUUGAACGCUGGCGGCAGGCCUAACACAUGCAAGUCGAGCGAGCGGCGGACGAGUGAUUAAUGCCUAGGAAUCUGCCUGUUAGUGGGGGAUAACUUCCAGAAACGGUCCCUAUUACCGCAUCCCAUCAGCUCUGCCCAGAGUGGAUUAGCUUGUUGGUGGGGUAACGGCUCACCAAGGCGACGGUCCCUAGCUGGUCUGAGAGGAUGACCAGCCACACGGGAACUGAGAAACGGUCCAGACUCCUACGGGAGGCAGCAGUGGGGAAUAUUGCACAAUGGGCGAAAGCCUGAUGCAGCCAUGCCGCGUGUAUGAAGAAGGCCUUCGGGUUGUAAAGUACUUUCAGUGGGGAGGCGUUACCCGCAGAAGAAGCACCGGCUAACUCCGUGCCAGCAGCCGCGGUAAUAC